CCCGAGACUUAGAGUCACAUCUAGAUGUCAUCAGUUGUCAUGGUGUGCUAAAGUACUCGGAAAGAAAUAACUGACCUUUAUUCACUGGCCCUGUUCUUCAGUAGCAGAGCCAGUCACCAGGUUAGUGACAUGC
rnacentral:snoRNA from 1 species